UGUUGCCGCCCUUCCUGGGCGUUUCCUCCUUAAACUUCGGGUCGCUUUAGAGCGGCCUUUUUUGUGCUCAGU
rnacentral:sRNA from 2 species